rnacentral:rRNA from 1 species
UACGUAGGGGGCAAGCGUUGUCCGGAAUCAUUGGGCGUAAAGAGCGUGUAGGCGGUCCGGUAAGUCCGCUGUGAAAGUCGGGGGCUCAACCCUCGAACGCCGGUGGAUACUGUCGGGCUAGAGUCCGGAAGAGGCAAGUGGAAUUCCUGGUGUAGCGGUGGAAUGCGCAGAUAUCAGGAGGAACACCAAUAGCGAAGGCAGCUUGCUGGGACGGUACUGACGCUAAGGCGCGAAAGCGUGGGGAGCGAACAGG